rnacentral:lncRNA from 1 species
CAAAGCAAUAAAGUAAUCAAGUUACAUUGUAAUUCAUAUAUUAUUAGUCUAAUCUAACUUUACUUUAAUUUUAUCCGAUAUCUUUCAAAUUCAUGUAUAUUAUUAUUAUGUGAUAAACAUAAAAUCUAAUUAUCCCUAAGUCAAUUGUAGAUAAGAGAAAGAAUUCAUACAGGUCUUCUCUAUCUUACCUAAAGGUCUUCAAAACUGAGAAAAUAUCCAUCUCCAUGUGACGACUCAAUUCCAAACUACAGAGUUUGAAGUUACAAAGAAUAGAAACUUCAAAAAAGAAAAAAGAAAAGUUUAGAAAAAAACAUGAGUAGUAAUUUACAUAUUAUUAGUCCAAUCUUUCAAAUCCACAUGUAUUGUUACUAUAUAUUAGACAAACAUAGAAUCUAAUUGUUCUAAAUUCAAUUGUCGAUAACAGAAAUAAUUCAUACACAUCUCUCUAUCUUUUCCAAUAUAAGGUCUUUGAGAAAAUAUUCUGUUUAAACUCAAUUGUCUCUUCAUCUCCAUCUCCAUGUGACUCACUUCCAAACUACAGAGUUUUAAGUUAUAAGAAUAGAAACUUCAAAAAAGAAAAGCUUAGAAAAAGAGAGAUGGAGAGAGGAAAGAAACCUCACGUAUUGGUAAUUCCAUAUCCAACUCAAGGCCAUUUAAACCCUUUAAUCCAAUUCUCCAAGUUCUUAUCUUACAAAGGACUUGACAUCACAGUAGCCGUCACCACCUUCAUCUUCAACACCUUCAAACCCUCCAAAAAUAUC